GUGCUUGCUUUGGCAGCAUGUAUACUAGAAAUGAAAUGAUACAGAGGAGAUUAGCAUGGCCCUUGCACAAGCAUUCCAUAUUUUCCACACUUCCCAGAGGUCAUU